GUGAGAUUUUAGUGAUGCUGUGACCACUUAACUGAUAAAUGUUGUCUGUCAGCUCAUGUUAAUUUGUGGUUUAUUUUAUUUGUUGUUUGUUUGUUCAUUGUAGGUUGCUCUGGACAGAGCGAGCUUUAAUCCUCCUUGAUAAUCUUGUUGAGAGGUACCCCUGGAGAUGACCACUUCCAGUUAUCUUUUCUCCAUUGCUAAACUGGAUUGCUCAGGACAGGUAUUUUAUACCCACACACCAAAGAAACUUUUUGAAGUUUGGGGAGAUGCAUCACUGCGGACCCUCUCGUAUUGCAAAAAAAAAGAAGAGAGCCU